CUAUUAUAUAGUUUAUAUAGUAUAUUUUUAUAGUUUGUGUUGCAUUAUUAUAAGUAUCGUCGUCUGUUCUUAAACAAUUUUUUAUCUGAUAAUAAAAUGAAAAGGUGUAAAAGUUCUGAUAAAAUAUCUGAUAAAGCAUCUAACAAAGAAAAUGAUUGCAGUAUUGCUAAGAAAAGAAAAAAUUAUCAGCAUAAAUUUAACAAUAAUUGGACAGAACAAUUUCCUUGGUUAAGCAAAUAUAAAAAUAACUAUGCUUUUUGUAAUCUAUGUGAUCUAAAACUUGUAGGUAGUUUUACUCAUAUAAAACGGCAUGAGCAAACUAAUAAACAUAAAAGCAAUUAUCGAACAUGCAAACAACAUCCGAAAAUGGAAACAUUUGUUAAAAGUGAUAAAACAGUUUUACAUGAGAAAAAAGUUUAUAGCGCUGAAUUAAAAUUAAUCAUGUUUUUACAUGAACAUAAUUUGCCAUUUUUAUUAAUGGAACAUUUACCAAAACUAAUUUCAUCAAUAUGUCCAGAUUCAGAUAUUGCUAAAAGUAUAAAUUGUGGCAGGACAAAAACAACAGUUAUAACAAAUGAAUGUUUAGCUAUAGAGAACAGCUAAGACUUUAAAAAAAACUUCUUUCAGAAGAAAAAUGUUAUUAUUCCAUAAUUCUAGAUAAAACAACAGAUGUUUCAAUAAAAAAAAUGUUUAGCAGUAGUUAUACGCUUUGUUUAUAAAAAUAAAGUAAGAGAUAAAUUUCUAGGUCUUAUAGAAUUCAAUCUGCUUCUGCUGAAGCAUUAUUUAAUGCAAUAACUGAAUUACUUACUAAAAAUAAAAUACCACUUCAGAAAAUUAUUGGCUUUGCUGCUGAUAAUGAAGCUGUUAUGAUGGGACAAAAAUCGAGUGUUCACACAAGACUUAAAGAAUUAAAUUCAAAUAUAAUUACACUGAGUUGUAUAUGUCACUCAUUACAUUUGUGUUCUUCAAAAGCAACAACUAAAUUGCCAAAAUCUGUGGAAGAAUUUAUUUAAAACCUUAUAAAAUGCUGCGACCUUCUCAAACAAGAUGGCUAUCAUUGCAAGCUGUCGUCGACAGAGUACUUCUAUUGUGGGAUUCUUUUACAUUAUAUUUUACGAAUGCUGUAUUCGAAGAGGAUAAGCUACAUGUAACGGAUGCAAUACUUAAUAACUUAAAUAAUCCUGUUUUCAAAAUAUAUCUUAUAUUUUUAUCAUAUAUAUUAGACAUUAUAAAUAAGAUGAAAUUAUAUUCAAAAAGGGAUUGUUGAUAAAAUUGAUUUAUCACAAAUAAAUCCAACUAAUCCUGAUUAUUAUUUAAAGUUAGAAGAUAUUUAUAUGGGUGCAAAUGUACAACUUUUUUUAAAUGAUCAUUCAAUAUGCCCAGAAGAAUUAAAUAAGAUCAGAAUUAAUAUUUUGAAUUUUUACGUAGAGUUAUGUCAACAAAUAAGAAAGCGAUUCGAUUUUAAUGAUAAACUUCUGAUAUUUCUUACCAAUUUUCAUCCUAAACGAGCACUAAAUGGAAGUGUUGCUACGAUAGCGCAAGCAGCAGAAAUAUUUAAAAAUUUGGUUUCUAACGUAGAAAAUUUAAAUAGUGAAUGGAGGCAAUUACAGGAUGUGCAAUAUCUUAAAAAAUUUGAGAAUGCUUCAUUUGACCAAUUUUGGAUGGAAGUAUUUCAAAUGAAAAAUGAGUUAAAUGAAGAAAUGUUUCCUAAUUUAAAUCAAUUAAUUAAGGGCGUUAUGUGCUUGCCACACUCUUCUGCAUCCGUAGACAAAGUUUUUUCUCAAUUAAAUUUAAUUAAGACCGAUUUACGAAAUAGACUAGAUAUGUAACUCAAUUAUAUUAGCAAAACAACUUAUAGACGAUGAAAAUUGUUAUACAUGGGAACCUUCUGAAACAUUAAUAAAAAAUAAAGCAAAAUAUUAAAUGCA